GUGAUGAAUGAUGAAAUAAAUCAGACGGAUUCCCACUGAUUUCUUUUUGAACGUGAUUACUCACCAGCUACUUCUGACACAC